rnacentral:rRNA from 1 species
GACGAACGCUGGCGGCGUGCUUAACACAUGCAAGUCGAACGGAAAGGCCCUGCUUUUGUGGGGUGCUCGAGUGGCGAACGGGUGAGUAACACGUGAGUAACCUGCCCUUGACUUUGGGAUAACUUCAGGAAACUGGGGCUAAUACCGGAUAGGAGCUCCUGCUGCAUGGGGUGGGUCGGAAAGUUUCGGCGGUUGGGGAUCGUCUGGCAGCUUAUCAGCUUGUUGGUGGGGUAGUGGCUUUCCAAGCCUUUGACGGGUAGCCGGCCUGGGAGCGUGACCGGCCACCUUGGGACUGAGAUACGGACCAGACUCGUACGGGAGGCAGCAGUGGGGAGUCUUGCACAAUGGGCGGAAGCCAGAUGAAGCAACGCCGCGUGCGGGAUGCCGGCCUUCGGGUUGUAAACCGCUUUCGCCUGUGACGAAGCGUGAGUGACGGUAAUGGGUAAAGAAGCACCGGCUAACUACGUG